rnacentral:rRNA from 1 species
UACGAAGGGGGCUAGCGUUGCUCGGAAUCACUGGGCGUAAAGGGUGCGUAGGCGGGGCUUUAAGUCAGGGGUGAAAUCCUGGAGCUCAACUCCAGAACUGCCUUUGAUACUGAGGAUCUUGAGUUCGGGAGAGGUGAGUGGAACUGCGAGUGUAGAGGUGAAAUUCGUAGAUAUUCGCAAGAACACCAGUGGCGAAGGCGGCUCACUGGCCCGAUACUGACGCUGAGACACGAAAGCCAGGGGAGCGAACGGG